rnacentral:rRNA from 1 species
UGAGGAAUAUUGGUCAAUGGGCGCAAGCCUGAACCAGCCAUCCCGCGUGCUGGAAGACGGCCCUAUGGGUUGUAAACUGCUUUUCCAGGGGGAGAAUUUUUCUGUCGUGACAGGAAUUGACGGUACCCUGGGAAUAAGCAUCUGCUAACUCCGUGCCAGCAGCCGCUGUAAUACGGAGGAUGCGAGCGUUAUCCGGAUUUAUUGGGUUUAAAGGGUGCGUAGGCGGAUUGAUAAGUCAGUGGUGAAAACCUGCAGCUUAACUGUAGACUUGCCGUUGAUACUGUCAGUCUUGAGUGUGGUCAAGGUAGGCGGAAUGUGUAAUGUAGCGGUGAAAUGCUUAGAUAUUACACAGAACACCGAUUGCGAAGGCAGCUUACUGGGCCAUUACUGACGCUGAUGCACGAAAGCGUGGGGAUCGAACAG